rfam:Gossypium raimondii chromosome 2, whole genome shotgun sequence.
AAUCCAUGCAUCAAACAUUUUCGAAUUAACUCUUUAAAUCGUUCCCAAGCUUCAUAUUGUGUUUCAUCCUCUGAUUACCGAAAAGAUGUGAUUUCAUUUCUAAGCUU